GAUGAACGCUGGCGGCGUGCCUAAUACAUGCAAGUCGAGCGAACGGACGAGAAGCUUGCUUUUCUGAUGUUAGCGGCGGACGGGUGAGUAACACGUGGAUAACCUACCUAUAAGACUGGGAUAACUUCGGGAAACCGGAGCUAAUACCGGAUAAUAUUUUGAACCGCAUGGUUCAAAAGUGAAAGACAGUCUUGCUGUCACUUAUAGAUGGAUCCGCGCUGCAUUAGCUAGUUGGUAAGGUAACGGCUUACCAAGGCAACGAUGCAUAGCCGACCUGAGAGGGUGAUCGGCCACACUGGAACUGAGACACGGUCCAGACUCCUACGGGAGGCAGCAGUAGGGAAUCUUCCGCAAUGGGCGAAAGCCUGACGGAGCAACGCCGCGUGAGUGAUGAAGGUCUUCGGAUCGUAAAACUCUGUUAUUAGGGAAGAACAUAUGUGUAAGUAACUGUGCACAUCUUGACGGUACCUAAUCAGAAAGCCACGGCUAACUACAUG
rnacentral:rRNA from 1 species